AGAGUUUGAUCCUGGCUCAGGAUGAACGCUAGCGGCAGGCUUAACACAUGCAAGUCGAACGGUAACAGGGAAAAGCUUGCUUUUCUGCUGACGAGUGGCGAACGGGUGCGUAACACGUAUGCAACUUACCUUUAACAGGGGGAUAGCCCAGAGAAAUCUGGAUUAAUACCCCAUAACAUUAUCAUUUCGCAUGUUAUGAUAAUUAAAACUUCGGUGGUUAGAGAUAGGCAUGCGUCCCAUUAGUUAGUUGGUAAGGUAACGGCUUACCAAGACAGCGAUGGGUAGGGGGUCUGAGAGGAUGAUCCCCCACACUGGUACUGAGACACGGACCAGACUCCUACGGGAGGCAGCAGUGAGGAAUAUUGGGCAAUGGACGAAAGUCUGACCCAGCCAUGCCGCGUGCAGGAAGAAUGCCCUAUGGGUUGUAAACUGCUUUUAUAUACCAAGAAACGCAGGUACGUGUACCUGUCUGACGGUAGUAUAUGAAUAAGCACCGGCUAACUCCGUGCCAGCAGCCGCGGUAAUACGGAGGGUGCAAGCGUUAUCCGGAUUUAUUGGGUUUAAAGGGUUCGUAGGCGGGACUUUAAGUCAGUGGUGAAAGCCUAUAGCUCAACUAUAGAAUUGCCAUUGAUACUGAAGUUCUUGAGUACACUUGAAGUUAGCGGAAUGUAUCAUGUAGCGGUGAAAUGCAUAGAUAUGACAUAGAACACCGAUCGCGAAGGCAGCUUACUAAGCUAUUACUGACACUGAGGGACGAAAGCGUGGGGAGCGAACAGGAUUAGAUACCCUGGUAGUCCACGCCGUAAACGAUGAUUACUCGUUGCUAGCGAUACACUGUUAGUGACUAAGCGAAAGUGUUAAGUAAUCCACCUGGGGAGUACGAUCGCAAGGUUGAAACUCAAAGGAAUUGACGGGGGCCCGCACAAGCGGUGGAGCAUGUGGUUUAAUUCGAUGAUACGCGAGGAACCUUACCAGGGCUUAAAUGUAGGACGACAGUUUGGGAAACCAGAUUUUCUUCGGACGGCCUACAAGGUGCUGCAUGGUUGUCGUCAGCUCGUGCUGUGAAGUGUCGGGUUAAGUCCCAUAACGAGCGCAACCCCUAUUUCUAGUUGCCAGCGGGUAAUGCCGGGGACUCUAGAGAAACUGCCGGUGCAAACCGAGAGGAAGGUGGGGAUGACGUCAAAUCAUCACGGCCCUUACGUCCUGGGCCACACACGUGCUACAAUGGUAGGUACAGAGAGACGCCACUUGGUGACAAGGAGCAAAUCUUAAAAGCCUAUCUCAGUUCGGAUUGGAGUCUGCAACUCGACUCCAUGAAGCUGGAAUCGCUAGUAAUCGCAUAUCAGCCAUGAUGCGGUGAAUACGUUCCCGGGCCUUGUACACACCGCACGUCAAGCCAUGGAAGCUGGGGGUGCCUGAAGUCGGUAACCAUAUAGGAGCUGCCUAGGGUAAAACUAGUGACUGGGGCUAAGUCGUAACAAGGUAGCC
rnacentral:rRNA from 1 species